GGGUGGGGGGGUGGAGGGGGUGGGGCUGUCUCGGGCCCGGCCGGCCGGCCGCGCGCCGAGGUAGGCGGUCAGAGGUGGGGCUCCUGCUUCUGGGGGCGAGCCUGCCGGACCGUGGGGAUUGUGGGUAGGGGGCCCCACAGGUGGAGCGGGGGGACUGCAGGCACCGCGGGCAGCCUAGCCAGGCGUGGACGUGGGAGAACGCGGGUGCUAUUGCGCCGGGCCCCACGCGGGGGCGCUACGCACCCACCUGAGACUCUGGUUCCAGUCUCCCGGAGCGCACGACAGAACCAACAAAGAUGAACCUAAACGUAUUUAGGAAUGUGUUUGUAUCCUGCCAGUCUCCGGUCCUGUACAGGAAACUCAAACCACUGUUCAGCUGACGGGAGACCGACCCUGCGCAGGGAGGAGGCGGCCAGCAGCCCCGCCACCGAGCCCACCGCGGGGCUGAUACCUGAUGUGCCCUCGCCACCCCCUAGGCGAGAGGCGGACGGACGCACCAGGAGCAUUAACAUCUGGCUCAAGGAAACGUACCAGUAACUCAAGAGACAAGCUCAAAUACCAUUAAUUCGUUUUUCUCUAGUAUAUAUGUUAUUUUAAUUAAUUGAUUAGUUUGUUUAUUCAUUUUACUGUUCAAGCAAUCUAACUCCACCACAAGCUUGGGCUGGUGAAUGAUUACUGGAGCAAAGGGUACGAACUUUGCUUGAUACAUGUCGUGAAAUUGCUUUCCAGGAGGGUUCUUGCUAAAGAGAAUUCAUCCCGUGGGAUUUUAUAUAAAGGAACAAACGGCAUCUUCAGUAACUCUCACACUGCAAGCGGAGAAUCUGUGGCAGUUCGCUACCUGUGCAUCGUGGUCAACAAGGGGGUUCUUCUUAGUUAUUCAGGGACCCAGGCUGAUAGAGCAGCCACCUUCCAACGCUGCCAAUCACCACACCGGAAGGAAAAAGUAGAAAGAGCUCUGGGAGGUCUUACAUCCGCAGUGAAUAGCUCUGGCCCAGACACCUGUCUGUUCUGUUGACAACCGUUUCUCUAGAACUAAUUGCACGGCUUCGCUCAACCACAAGGGGGCAGGAAAGAGCAACCCUACUCAGGCCUAGAAGUAAACCGGCAACUGUCCCUACAGGACCAGCCCCAGCUCCACCACAGACAGGCACUGAGGGCGGCAGCCUAGAUUCUGGAACAUGCUGGCAGCCACCUCCUCCUCCACGGCCCUUCUGGGUUUUCUAAGUUCUGGUCUGUUAUGGAGUCAGAGCCCCAGAAAGUCAAGAUGCUGGGCCCCACAGCUUCCCUGAAGGAAGAUGGCUUUCCUUCUGUACAAUGCCCUCAACUUUGUCCAGAGACCAGAUGGGAAAUGGUCACAGGAACUUUCCAUUUGCUGCAAAGCCUUGUUUUUCCACCCACGAAAACACAUGCCUACUAAUUUUUACAACUAUUCUCCACACUGCUAUUACAAUUUAUUAUUAUUAUUAUUAUUAUUAUUUUAUUAUUAUGGAGAACUUCAAACAUAUGCAAAAAGAGAGAGACUAGGAUAGUGGACCACUUCAUCAUCCAGCCUGACCAUUUCAAAAGUCCACCUUCUGGUUUCAUGAAUUCCCUCCCUUGUGUUCGUUUGUGCUGGAGUAUUUUAAGGCAAAUCUCAGACAGCCUAUUAUUUCACCUGUUAAUUCUCACUAUGUAUUUCUAACAUAUAGUGACUUUUAAAAAUAACCAUAAUUCCAUUAUCACAUCCCCCCUCAACUGACAUUAUCUAAUAUAUACUUCAUGAUCAAUUUCCCUUGAAUGUCUAAAAAAUAGUUGAUUUGCCCAAACCAGGAUCCAAGUAAGGGCUACUCAUUGCAUUUGGUGAAUUUUUCUUGGUUAAUUUUUAUUUAUUUAUUUUUAAAGAUUUUAUUUAUUCAUUUAGAGAGAACGAGAGUGAGCUCACGCAAACAGGUGGAGGGGCAGAGAGAGAAUCUCAAGCAGACUCCUCGCUGAGCGCGGAGCCCCAGGUGGGGCUCGAUCUCGGGAUCCUGAGAUCAUGACCUGAGCCGAAAUCAAGAGUUGGACGCUCAACCAACUGAGCCUCCCAGGCGCCCCUUGGUUAAUUUUUUUUAAAAAUAUCUUUUAAAUUGUAAUACUUCUUCCUCCUUCAUGUUUUCUAUGCCAUUUUGUUUGUUUGUUUGUUUGUUUAGGAAACUGGGUUGUUUUCCUCUCGAGUCUCCCACAUGCUAGAUCGGGCUGAGUGUAUCCUUGUAGUGUCAUUUCACAUGUUCCUCUGUCCCCUGUCAUUAUAUUUAGAAGUUUGAUUAAACGUACGUUCACUUUUUCUCCCAGGAGUAUUUCAUAA